rnacentral:lncRNA from 1 species
GCUCAUUAGGGCUUAAGGUCUUCCCUAGAGUGUUCCACCAACGAACGGCUCCACCUCGGAAUUGACGCACGGCAUAGAUAGUUUGCAACUUACCUCUGCAGCCACACGUCAUGAAGGCUAGCUCCAUUUCGGAGAUCCAAUCCAUAACCCCAAUCGGAUCCUCCUUUCCAUUGAAGGUCGAUGGUUUGCAAGUCAAAAAGUCCUUGUACUUGCAUCCCAUUCCAUCAUUCCUUCCAUCAUGGUUGUUUUGCGUAACUAUCAGUGGGUUGGCUUGACUAACAGACCCACUAAAGUUUCCACCUUCCGAGUGCCCUUCAUUUAAUUCAGGCUCCUCCACACGAAUUGACAGUUCUUCACGAUUCUGUUGAAGGAAUCGUCUAGUUUCAUCCAUCUGACGAUCCAACAUUGUUUGAAUCAUCAUUUGCACACCAGCCAUGGUUAUUGGCUCAGGUGCUGCUGCUACGACAGGUAUUUGCUCAAUCACUGGUGGUUGAUUCCUGUUUUCAUCAGCAUUUCCAACUCCACUUCUUGUUCUCACCAUUUUGAUCUACACCGAAUAAGGUGAAAUUAGAUCCUCAAUCAUGAUAGAUAUUCAAAUCAUCCUUAUCACUCCGAAACGUUUACAUGCUAGUUCUAAUAUCGUAGACGUACGCUUAGAAUCCUACACACAUAAGGUUUCUAGAUCCGGUCGGCAACAGACCAUAGAUCCGAACAAAUAAUAUCAUAUAUGGCAACAUAUAACAUUUAGCACAUAAAGCAUUUUAGGCAACUUUCCUAAAAUAAACUAGUGCUCGUGUCUAAAUCACAACAGACACACAUCUCAAAACUUCACUUAGCAUUCUAAGUUUAAGUCUAGAAAUCCUACAAAUUCCUAGUUCGCUUAAACUAAUGCUCUGAUACCAACUGUGACAUCCCCAAAAUCUCGGCCAGAAAAGACCGAUUUUCAUUUAUGCUUUUAAAUAUUUUCAGAGUAAAUCCUUUUGAUUUGAAAGAGUUGCGGAAUUUGUUCCCAAAAACAAAACAUGAUAAAACAUUGUUUACCGAAGCAUUUCAUAAAAGAAAUGUAUUUUCAUUAUAAUCAAAACUCGGGGUGUCAUGUUCCGAUACAGACCAAUAAGCAUAAACGAAUACAUUACAAGUCAUAUAACAAAUAUAAACAUAUGCAGACUUGUAAACAAAACAACUUGAUGGUUCAUCCAUCUCAUGCCCUUCCGCCACUACCUGUAAUACAAUUUAAAACUGAGUGGGUCAGGCUUGGGAGCCUGGUGAGCAUAUAGGGUUUUCAACCCACAAUAAAUAUCAUAUUUAAUUUUCACCAACCAACAAUAACCCAAUUACCCAUUCCCGUUAUUCUCACUUUAAUGUCCCUAAAACAACUAACAUAAGGGACCUAGUCUAAGAAUAUUUCAUCGGGGCGACAACACAUGCUUCGGGGGUACCUCAGCAAUAUAAGUCAAAUAAGGCAACCAUGAGGGGGAUGGAGUACAGCGAAUGAACACCCAAGUUCAUUAACACCUACAGGUGGCGAACCUGCUAAUGUUUCCACAAGACUGUCUAGAAUAGCCAGUGGUCGUCAUCUAAACUCCGCUAGAUGACUCAAUCAAACAACAACGAGGCCUCUCAUCUGUUUAUUACACACCAACUGUCUACCCAUGUUCUACCCAACAUAUUAGUAGAUAAAAAUAUACAUUUGUAUACAUAGUUUAAAGAAAACCUGUAUAGCAUGCUUUAAUCAACACAUAUAUCACAUAACAGAUGAGGCACACACACACAUAACACAUAUCUCAUAAAGAAAUAAGCAGAUCUAUAAGAUAGAAGAGAGUGAAUACUCAUUCACACAUAACACAACCAAAUAUAUACACAUAGCACGUAUUUUUAUAUAAAAUACUUCGUAUUAUUGUAUUAGAAGAAAUAACUACACACUCACUUGAUCAGAAGAUGAUCGGACAGCACUACGGCUUAUAGAAGUAGUAAUCCACAGCAGAUCUGGAAGAUCUUCUCGAAAAUCGAACUUCUCGCGGGCAGAGCUUCGACUCGGGAACCGCACUUUUCGGGAUCUUCAGGAUCUCGGGACUUGCCUCGGGGCUAGAGUAUGAUACCGGGACUUCGGGGUAGCUUCGGGGGUUUUUGCACAGAGCUUCGACACGAAAACGAGAGGGAAUUGGCAAAAAUACCCGGAACCCUCGCAUCCUAUUUAUAGGAGGCUGGAGCCUCGGAGUACGCGGGGCGUACUGCGUUACGCGGGGCGUACUGCCCAAAACGUCAUUGCUUACGUAUCCGAAGUGCUCGAGUGCGAGUGUCGACAUCCCUCGGAGUACGCGGGGCGUACUCGAGUACGCGGGGCGUACCUCGGAUCAGAUCGGUGACUCCUUCGGAUAAUGCUUCCGAAUUUUGAAUUAAAAAUAAAUACAAAAUGAUUAAUAAACUUCGGAAAUUCAUAACUUCUUCAUACGAACUCCGUUUUCGACGUUCUUUAUAUCCACGCGAAGGUGAGACCACGCUCUACGACUUUCGUUUAGACUCCGUCGGCUAAUUUUGACUUUAUUUUUAUUAAUUAUUUUUAAUAGGCCGGGACAGAAACUUUCGUUAUAAAUUCAUAACUUCUUCGUUUGACGUCCGUUCUCGCCUAACUUUUUAUCGUUUCAAUACCAACAAUGAGAUCUUCGAUUCUCAUUUAGAUUGCUUCGGCUAACAACCGCUCGAUCUCAAAUCGAGUAAAACAGGCUGUAUAUCGCUAAGCCGGAACUUCGAUAAAUCAUAACUUCCUCAUACGAAGUCAGAUUUGGGCGUUCUAUAUAUAUUCGGAAACCUCGUUUCAACUACUACAACAUUAACCAAAGAUAUUAAGUUUAUUUUACACUUAAAUUUUGACGCUUAUUUUUAUUCUUAAUUAAUCAAACCACAUAAUUAAGCAAUUAAGCACAAAACACAUAAUACUCAAAUAAUACAAUCUUAUUAUUUCAAAACGGGUUACAAAGGUUAACCUAGACUAUUACAUUGCUAAAAAUGGCAAGCCCGGAAACACAGGCGUUACAAUUCUCUCCACCUUAGAAUGAUUCCGUCCCCGGAAUCACACAUCAACAAACAAAUGCGGAUAGCGACUCAACAUGUCACUCUCCGUCUCCCAGGUGAGAUUCGGCCCAUUCGUGUGUUUCCAUCGGACAAGCACUAACCCAACCAUUUUGCGUCGCAACUUCUUAGUCUUUCGGUCAACAAUUGCCUCUGGUUCUUCAAUCAACCUUUUGUUCUCAUCAAUUCUCAAUUCAGAAAUUGGAAUUAUAUCGGGAACUUCUCCCGUGAACUUCCUCAAAUAACACACAUGAAAGGUGUUGUGAAUUCCAUUCAGUUCUUCGGGUAAUUCGAGCUUGUAAGCUUGAUUCCCAAUCCUCUGAAGGACUUUAAACGGUCCAAUAAACCUUGGACUCAACUUUCCCCUUUUACCAAAUCUUAUAAGUCCCUUCCACGGCGAGACUUUAAGCAAAACCGAAUCUCCAACCUCAAAAGUCAUCGGUCUUCGCUUCUUGUCAGCAUAGCUCUUUUGACGAUCUUGAGCUGCUAACAUUCUUUCCCUAAUUAUUUUCAACUUUUCAGCAGUUUGAUGAACCAUCUCCGGUCCCAUAAACUGCUUUUCCCCAGCCUCAAGCCAACAAGACGGCGUACGACACUUCUGUCCAUACAAAGCUUGAUAAGGUGCCAUCUUAAUGCUCGAGUGAAAACUAUUAUUAUAGGAAAAUUCUACCAACGGUAAAUGUUCAUCCCAAUUACCUAGGAAUUCCAAGGUACAUGCUCUCAGCAUAUCUUCAAGUGUUUGUAUUGUUCUUUCACUCUGACCAUCAGUCUGCGGAUGGUAAGCUGUGCUUAAACAUAACUUGGUACCCAUUUCCUCUUGUAGACUUUUCCAAAACCUUGAGGUGAAACGGCUAUCACGAUCCGAUACAAUCGUUAACGGAACACCGUGAAGCCUCACAAUUUCCUUCACGUAAGAAUUCGCAAGCUUUUCCAUAGACCAUUUCUCCCUGGCCGCUAUGAAAUGCGCACUCUUAGUGAAUCGAUCAACGACCACCCAAAUCAUGUCGUGACCAUUCUUUGUUCUGGGCAGUUUAGUGACAAAAUCCAUAGCAAUGUCUUCCCACUUACCCAUAGGCACAGGCAAUGGUUCUAAACUCCCGUAAGGUUUCUGAUGUUGUGUCUUGACUCUCGCACAAGUCACACACUCGGCCACAUACUUUGCAACAUCAAGCUUCAUCGUCGGCCACCAGUAGUAGGGUUUCAGGUCCCUAUACAUUUUAGUGCUACCCGGAUGAAUUGAGUACAUGGUUUUGUGAGCUUCUUCCAUCAGAAGAUCCCUAAUUCCUCCUGACUUAGGUACCCAAAUACGAUCUUGGAAUACCUUCAGUCCAUGACCGUUAGUACCAAACACCAACGUUUUACCCAAACGUUCCUCCUUUCGGUCAUUUUUCUCAGAAGCUUCCUCUUGAGCUUUCUUUAUACUUUCCACAAUAGUCGAGACAACUUCAAUUCUCAACGCUCUUGGCCUCUUCCUUUCAAGAUUGACUUUCCGACUGAGAGCAUCAGCAACAACAUUAGCUUUACCGGGGUGGUAAAGUAUCUCGCAGUCGUAGUCUUUAAGUAAUUCUAGCCAGCGUCGUUGCCUCAUAUUCAAUUCUUUCUGAUUAAAGAGGUAUUGGAGACUCUUAUGAUCAGUGAAAAGUUUGCACUUCGUGCCAUAGAGGUAAUGCCUCCAUAUUUUCAGAGCGAAAACUACCGCUGCCAACUCCAAAUCAUGAGUCGGGUAAUUCUUUUCAUGCUCUUUCAGCUGUCGAGACGCAUAUGCUAUCACCUUUUCUCUUUGGGUCAAAACACAACCCAAUCCAACACCAGACGCAUCGCUAUAAACAGCGAAGUCUUCAACUCCAUCGGGUAGAGAAAGUAUCGGUGCCUCGCAUAGCUUCUUCUUUAACUUCUCGAAUGCUUCUUUAUGCUUCUCACUCCAAGCAUAAGUAGCUCCUUUGUGGGUCAAAGCUGUUAAUGGAGUAGCAAUCGAAGAAAAGCCUUGGAUAAACCUUCGGUAAUAUCCGGCUAAUCCUAAAAAGCUUCGAAUCUCCGUGGGACUUUUCGGUUGUUCCCACUUCGUCACAGCUUCGAUCUUCGCUGGAUCAACCAUUAUCCCUUCUUGGUUGACCACGUGACCCAAGAAUUGGACCUCACGAAUCCAAAAAUCACAUUUGGAGAACUUCGCAUAAAGCUUCUCCUUCUUCAAAACUUCUAACACUUCUCGCAAGUGUCUGCCAUGCUCCUCCUGGCUUUUCGAGUAGAUCAGAAUGUCGUCUAUGAACACUAUCACGGAUUUAUCAAGGAAAGGAUUACAAACCCUAUUCAUCAAAUCCAUGAACGCUGCUGGAGCAUUGGUUAGUCCAAACGACAUAACCAAGAACUCGUAGUGUCCAUAUCUAGUUCUGAAUGCAGUCUUCUCGAUAUCUUGCUCUCUUACUUUCAGCUGAUGAUAUCCUGACCUAAGAUCGAUCUUCGAGAAAUAGCUCGAACCUUGCAAUUGAUCAAACAGGUCAUCAAUCCUCGGCAACGGAUAUCUAUUCUUUAUUGUUGCCUUGUUCAGCUCUCUGUAAUCGAUGCACAUUCUCAUACUUCCAUCUUUCUUCUUUACAAAUAACACCGGAGCUCCCCAGGGCGAUGAACUAGGUCUAAUGAAACCUUUGUCCAAUAACUCCUGAAGUUGCAUCAUCAGCUCCUUCAUCUCCGUCGGUGCUAAUCGAUAAGGUGCUUUUGCUAUUGGCGUGGUUCCUGGUAACAAGUCUAUUCUGAACUCCACUUGUCUAUCAGGUGGUAAUCCAGGAAGAUCCUCGGGAAAUACUUCCGGAUAAUCACACACCACUGGAAUACUCUGCAUCACCUUCUUUUCUUUCUUAGCAUCAAUCACGAAUGCUAAAUAUGAUGUACAUCCCUUGGUCAAACACUUUCUGGCUUUCAUUAGAGAAAUGAUUCCAGAAUUCACUCUGCGUUUGUCCCCAUACACCAUAAACGAAUCUUUCCCAGGCGGGUUUACUUUAACUAUCUUCUUCUUGCACAAAAUUUCGGCAUCAUUGGCGCUAAGCCAAUCCAUUCCCAAGACGAUGUCGAAACCAUUUAGUUCGAUAGGCAAUAAUUCCUCGAGAAACUUAUUCCCAUUAAGGUCGAUCAAGACGUUUUUCAUACGAUGGCUAACAGGUACAAACUUGCCACUAGCUACUUCGACUAAUAAAGCAUUAUUUAGUCUAUCAACAGGCAAAGCUAGCUUUCUACCAAACUCAUGCGAAAUAAAGGAGUAGUUGGCUCCAGAAUCAAACAAUAUAUGAGCAGGUAAUUCGUUUACGAGAAAGGUACCUGAAGCGACAUCAGCUUCAUCUUUCGCAGCCUCAAGUGUCAUCUGGAAGGCUCUCGCCUUCGGCUUUGGUGGAAUGUUGGGCCUAGCUGCCUCCUUCUUCUUCGGACAGUCUUUCAAAAUAUGCCCCUCUUCAUUACACCCAAAACACAUCCUUUUGUUGUUCGGACAUUCAUUGGCAAAAUGUCCAACCUUUCCACACUUGUAGCAGGUUACAUCCUCGCUACAUUUCCCAAAGUGCUUUUUCCUACACUUAUCACACCACUUCGCUUCGCCUCCUUUUCCUCCAAACUUUUUCGAAUCAAAUUUCGAAAAUUUACUCUUCUUACUGGAACCAGAUGUUCCUUCAAACUUCCUUUUCUCACCAACCUCAACCUUGUCGGUGGUUCUUCCCUUUAUCAUGUUCUCCACAGACUUGGCAGCCCAGAUAGCUGCCUCUAGAGUAAGUGCCUGACGUACUGGCACCUCGUACUCCCAUGGAAGUCCCUUCGCAUACCGAUCCACCUUUGUCAGCUCGUCUGGAACGAUACGCAAGGCAAACUCCAUCUUAUCGGUGAAGUUAUUGGUGUAUUCAUCCACUGACAUGCUACCCUUCGUCAAUGUCAAAAACUUGUUCUCCAACUCCAACAGAUUUUGAGCCGAGCAGAACUUGCGCUUGAACUGCACCAAGAACUCUGCCCAUGACAAUUGCAGUGGCUCAUUAGGGCUUAAGGUCUUCCCUAGAGUGUUCCACCAACGAACGGCUCCACCUCGGAAUUGUCGCACGGCAUAGAUAGUCUGCAACUUGCCUCUACAGCCACAUGUCAUAAAGGCUAACUCCAUUUCGGAGAUCCAAUCCAUAACCCCAAUCGGAUCCUCCUUUCCAUUGAAGGUCGAUGGUUUACAAGUCAAAAAGUCCUUGUACUUGCAUCCCAUUCCAUCAUUCCUUCCAUCAUGGUUAUCUUGCCUAACUAUCGGUGGGUUGGCUGGACCAACAGACCCACUGAAGUUUCCACCUUCUGAGUGCCCUUCAUUCAGUUCAGGCUCUUCCACACGAAUCGACAGUUCUUCACGAUUUUGUUGAAGCAACCGUCUAGUUUCAUCCAUCUGACGAUCCAACAUCGUCUGAAUCAUCAAUUGCACACCAGCCAUGGUUAUUGGCUCAGGUGCUGCUGCUACGACAGGUAUUUGCUCAAUCACUGGUGGUUGAUUCCUGUUUUCGUCAGCAUUUCCAACUCCACUUCUUGUUCUCACCAUUUUGAUCUAUACACCGAAUAAGGUGAAAUUAGAUCCUCAAUCAUGAUAGAUAUUCAAAUCAUCCUUAUCACUCCGAAACGUUUACAUGCUAGUUCUAAUAUCGUAGACGUACGCUUAGAAUCCUACACACAUAAGGUUUCUAGAUCCGGUCGGCAACAGACCAUAGAUCCGAACAAAUAAUAUCAUAUAUGGCAACAUAUAACAUUUAGCACAUAAAGCAUUUUAGGCAACUUUCCUAAAAUAAACUAGUGCUCGUGUCUAAA